UACGUAGGGUGCGAGCGUUGUCCGGAAUUAUUGGGCGUAAAGGGCUCGUAGGCGGUUUGUCGCGUCGGGAGUGAAAACACCGGGCUUAACUCGGUGCUUGCUUUCGAUACGGGCAGACUAGAGGCAUGCAGGGGAGAACGGAAUUCCUGGUGUAGCGGUGAAAUGCGCAGAUAUCAGGAGGAACACCGGUGGCGAAGGCGGUUCUCUGGGCAUGUCCUGACGCUGAGGAGCGAAAGUGUGGGGAGCGAACAAG
rnacentral:rRNA from 1 species